rnacentral:rRNA from 1 species
AGACAAUAGAUACCCUGGUAGUCCACGCCCUAAACGAUGUCGACUGGUUGUUGGGGUUUGGUACACUCUCAGUAAAACGAAAAGACUAAACGCGUGAAGUCGACCGCCUGGGGAGGUACGGCCGCAAGGUUAAAAACUACAAAGGAAUUGACGGGGACCCGGCACAAGCGGUGGAUUAUGUGGAUUAAUUCGAUGCAACGCGAAAAACCUUAACCUACCCUUGACAUGUCCGAGAGCCCGCUGAGAGGCGGGUGUGCCCGAAAGGGAAUCGGAACACAGGUGCUGCAUGGCUGUCGUCAGCUCGUGUCGUGAGAUGUUGGGUUAAGUCCCGCAACGAGCGCAACCC